rnacentral:rRNA from 1 species
AUUGAACGCUGGCGGCAGGCUUAACACAUGCAAGUCGAGCGGGGAAGGGUAGCUUGCUACCUGACCUAGCGGCGGACGGGUGAGUAAUGCUUAGGAAUCUGCCUAUUAGUGGGGGACAACAUUCCGAGAGGAAUGCUAAUACCGCAUACGCCCUACGGGGGAAAGCAGGGGAUCUUCGGACCUUGCGCUAAUAGAUGAGCCUAAGUCAGAUUAGCUAGUUGGUGGGGUAAAGGCCUACCAAGGCGACGAUCUGUAGCGGGUCUGAGAGGAUGAUCCGCCACACUGGGACUGAGACACGGCCCAGACUCCUACGGGAGGCAGCAGUGGGGAAUAUUGGACAAUGGGCGCAAGCCUGAUCCAGCCAUGCCGCGUGUGUGAAGAAGGCCUUUUGGUUGCAAAGCACUUUAAGCGAGGAGGAGGCUACUUGGAUUAAUACUCUAGGAUAGUGGACGUUACUCGCAGAAUAAGCACCGGCUAACUCUGUGCCAGCAGCCGCGGUAAUACAGAGGGUGCGAGCGUUAAUCGGAUUUACUGGGCGUAAAGCGUGCGUAGGCGGCUUUUUAAGUCGGAUGUGAAAUCCCUGAGCUUAACUUAGGAAUUGCAUUCGAUACUGGGAAGCUAGAGUAUGGGAGAGGAUGGUAGAAUUCCAGGUGUAGCGGUGAAAUGCGUAGAGAUCUGGAGGAAUACCGAUGGCGAAGGCAGCCAUCUGGCCUAAUACUGACGCUGAGGUACGAAAGCAUGGGGAGCAAACAGG